rnacentral:rRNA from 1 species
AGAUUGAACGCUGGCGGCAGGCCUAACACAUGCAAGUCGAGCGGCAGCACGGGUACUUGUACCUGGUGGCGAGCGGCGGACGGGUGAGUAAUGCCUAGGAAUCUGCCUGGUAGUGGGGGAUAACGCUCGGAAACGGACGCUAAUACCGCAUACGUCCUACGGGAGAAAGCAGGGGACCUUCGGGCCUUGCGCUAUCAGAUGAGCCUAGGUCGGAUUAGCUAGUUGGUGAGGUAAUGGCUCACCAAGGCGACGAUCCGUAACUGGUCUGAGAGGAUGAUCAGUCACACUGGAACUGAGACACGGUCCAGACUCCUACGGGAGCAGCAGUGGGAAUAGUUGGACAAUGGGACGAAAGCCUAGAUCCAGCCAUGCCGCGUGUGUGAAGAAGGUCUUACGGAUUGAAAGCAUUUAAGUGGAGAGGCAGUUACCUAAUACGUAUCUGUUUGACGUUACGACAGAAUAAGCACCG